AGGUUUGGCCAUCUUGGCAUUGACCAAAGAAAGAACAGAAAUAAAGCUUGGGGCAUCCCCACUUUAGGAUGUGUGUUGGGAUGGACACCUUUGGUAACUGCAUGACUUACUAAAUGAUUUCAUUUUGCUCAAGGUGGAACUGUCCAUGAGCUUGGUCAUGGGACCUGCCUUCCUGAUUUUUAGCUGAGGAUGCUGAGUGAACUUGUCCUGCCAGCUUCGUCAACCUGCUCUUCCCAAUGGCUUCUGCCUGGUUGUACUGUGGCUUGACCAGCUGGAACUGCAGGGACUGUGUACAUCUUCACUGAAAAGACUGAACUGCAUUGUAUUGACCAAAUGAAUCCAUGCUUUACAGCAUUUUGAGCAGAUUUUGUGUAGGCAUAGGAGACAUUUUCAUCUCAGCAAAAAUCUGUUUUAGACCAACGCUGUCUGACAAAGGUGUUCUUUGAAAUCAAAAUGAAGUUUUCACAUAAACACUAUUUUGGUAACUGGGCCUUACAAUGCAUCUUCCUUUUGAAAGGGUGAAUAAAAUGGAUCCACACUUUUAUAUUCCCAACAACAUAUCUUUGAACUUAUCAAAAAUAUUCAUUAUAUGUUUAUCCAUAAAUACAGUAUACAACCAAAGGGACAUCACACAUCCUUGUCCUAUUCCCUGCUCAAUAUGGAACCAUUCAGUAAGCAUUCCAUUUAUUCUCACAUAUUCUUUACUUAUGUACAUCAUAUACCACAUUUAUGCUAUUUAGCAAACAACUUUUAACACUACAUUUUACAACAUAUUCCAUAAUUCAAGCCUAUAUACUUUAUGAUAUGCUUUCUCUGUAUUACCAGAUCUACAGUAAACGUUCUCACAUUCAUAAAUUUGCCAAAUUUUGGUCUGCACAUCCCCUACCUCACACCAAAGCACACUGCAUUUGCCACAUUUUGCUCAUUCUCACCACUAAAAUUCUCCCAAACACCCAUAACAACCUAGAUGACUCCAAUUCAUACCUUCUGAUUUUAGCCCUUUUAUGCAGAAUUACACCUAAACCUUCAUUUCCUGUCAUACAUUCAUCAACUCCAUUCUGUAGUAUUAGACUAUAUCCAUAUUUCAAACUUACUGCAUCCUGUUGUGUUUGCAUACAAAACAAGUGAGUAAAUUGGUAUAUUACUGGACACAAUAAUGCUUCAUUAAAGCAUGUUUUUGAAAUAACCAAAAGAUGUUAAUUUCUGGGAAGAAGCAUUAUUAUUAAGCCACAGGAUUGUCUUUCCCCAGUGGUGUCCAGUCCUGUUAGAUCUGGCAGGAGAGGCAUGCUCUGGGUCCUGUCCGCAAGAGAGUGCCAUCUGGCGGGCCCAGGAAGAGAGCCUUUUCUGCCAUGGCACCUGCCCUCUGGAACAUCAUUCCCCCAGAGAUUAGACAUGGCCAAACCCUGCUGACCUUUUGCAAAGCAUUGAAACCUGGUUUUGUUAUCAAGCCUGGGGCCCUGAUAGUAUGAGUGAGCCUGUUUCUUGGUCAUGGUUGUGUUAAGCAGGUGUUCUUGGCUGCUAUGUUAUUUUAUGUUAUUUCUGUUGUUUUUAAAUUUGGUUGUUUUUAUUCUGUUUUUAUUGUUUGCCAUCCAAAGUCAUGCAUAUGAGAUGGCAGCCAUAUACAUUUAUUAAAUAAACAAUUAAUUAAUUAA